AUUGAACGCUGGCGGCAGGCCUAACACAUGCAAGUCGAACGAGUGGCGGACGUGUGAGUUAUGUCUGUGACACUGCCUGGUGGAGGGGGAUCACUACUGGAAACGGUAACUAAUACCGCAUACCAGCGGAUGUGCCGAGAUGGGAUUAGCUAGUAGGAGGGGUAAAGGCUCACCUAGGCGACGAUCCCUAGCUGGUCUGAGAGGAUGACCAGCCACACUGGAACUGAGACACGGUCCAGACUCCUACAGGAGGCAGCAGUGGGGAAUAUUGCACAGUGGGCGCAAGCCUGAUGCAGCCAUGCCGCGUGUAUGAAGAAGGCCUUCGGGUUGUAAAGUACUUUCAGCGGGGAGGCGUUACCCGCAGAAGAAGCACCGGCUAACUCCGUGCCAGCAGCCGCGGUAAUUC
rnacentral:rRNA from 1 species